rnacentral:lncRNA from 1 species
AUACAGGCCAUGUUAACGAUGGAUUUGCUAUGUGCUAGAUUAUCACAAGAUUUUUCUAUCAGACAGACACACAUGCACAGGUGAAUAUCACUCCAUAGACAGUCAACAUGCACAGGUGAAUAUCACAGCUGAAUAUCACUCCAUAGACAGUCAACAUGCACAGCUGAAUAUCACUCCAUAGCUGAAUAUCACUCCACAGACAGUCAACAUGCACAGC